rnacentral:rRNA from 1 species
AGCGAACGCUGGCGGCAGGCUUAACACAUGCAAGUCGAACGGGCGUAGCAAUACGUCAGUGGCAGACGGGUGAGUAACGCGUGGGAACGUACCUUUUGGUUCGGAACAACCCAGGGAAACUUGGGCUAAUACCGGAUAAGCCCUUACGGGGAAAGAUUUAUCGCCGAAAGAUCGGCCCGCGUCUGAUUAGCUAGUUGGUGAGGUAACGGCUCACCAAGGCGACGAUCAGUAGCUGGUCUGAGAGGAUGAUCAGCCACAUUGGGACUGAGACACGGCCCAAACUCCUACGGGAGGCAGCAGUGGGGAAUAUUGGACAAUGGGCGCAAGCCUGAUCCAGCCAUGCCGCGUGAGUGAUGAAGGCCCUAGGGUUGU